rnacentral:sRNA from 1 species
AUAAAAAGCCAACGGCACAAUGGAUCAAAAAGGCAGAGAUUCAUGGCAGCAGCUAGUCUUCAUUUACAGAAAACUCCACAAAUGAAGUUAAUUUUACCUCAAGUCGGUUGUUCUACAUUAGAAGACUCCAAGAAAAGAGCAAUUAUCGGUUUGUUAAGUGUUUUGAUGGAGUCUUCCUCAUCGGAGAGUUACGAUGAAACCAACACCUUUCCUUUGAAUUUGUUAAGGAGGGAAGAUGCUGCCAGGGGAUUGAGUGGGUAU